rnacentral:tRNA from 1 species
AUUCUUUUAGUAUAAAUGUAUAUUUGACUUCCAAUCAAAAGGUCUAAAUAAUAGAAAGAAUA